rnacentral:rRNA from 1 species
UACGUAGGGUGCGAGCGUUGUCCGGAAUUACUGGGCGUAAAGAGCUCGUAGGCGGUUUGUCGCGUCGUCCGUGAAAACUUGGGGCUCAACCCCAAGCUUGCGGGCGAUACGGGCAGACUUGAGUACUGCAGGGGAGACUGGAAUUCCUGGUGUAGCGGUGAAAAUGCGCAGAUAUCAGGAGGAACACCGGUGGCGAAGGCGGGUCUCUGGGCAUAACUGACGCGAGGAGCGAAAGCGGGUGGGAGAAACAGG